AUCUGACUAUUAAGAAGAGGAGGAGCAGGAAAUGACUACUGAGCAGCUGCCUUUCUCUGCUCUGAAAACCUGCUUUCCACUCUUCCUCACCCUCUGUGGUGUCCGGGGAGCCUCCACUGAAUGGGCUGCACUAAGCAGCUCCUGGCCGUGGGCAUCUGUUGAAUUUGGACGGGAAAGGCACCAGCGCGAAAGAGAUGCGGAGGUGUCCAUUCUCCGCCUUCCGUCCCUGCGCGGGCUGUGUCAGUUGGCAGCGUCUCCCCGAGAACGCCAUCAGCUCCUGUCAGACAGCCCUCUCCGUGAAGCUGUCCCUGGGGUCUCACUAAAUCCUUCCCACACCUUUGUAGCUACUCCUCUUACUUAAUGUUCCUCAAAGUUCCCCGUCUGACUCUACGGACCAUAUCCUGGCAGGAACCUGACUGAUAGACUAGAGAUAAUAUUUUGCAUAUUUAUUUCCAAAAUAUUUCCAGUAACAAAAACUUACAAUUUGGACCCAGCUUUUGUCCUUUAAUGUUGUAUGACAAAUAUUUUAAUCUUAUAAAAAUAUUAAUUGAAAACAUUUCUUGUACGGUAAUAUUUAUUCCAUUUAUGUUUUAAGCACCUAAUGAUUACCGAAUAUUUGGAUUAUUUCCCAUUUCUUCCGUUACAUAAAUAACUGUGAUGAUACAUUUAUCUGGAUUCUUAAUUAUUUUGUUUAAAAAGCUCUUUCUCAAACUUGAAGUUAUGAAUGCAUUCUCUACCUUUUUUUUUUUUUUUUUUUUUGGUCUUUUUAGGACAUGAUAUUACUGUGCAGUUCGGAAUGGCCUUGAACUCACUUUGUAGCCCAGGCUGGCUUCGAACUUGCAGUAAUCCUUCUGCCUCAGCCUCCCGAGUGCUGAGAUUGCAUGUGUAUGCCACCAUGCCCCUCCUGAACACAUUCUUUUACAGUGGCUUCUAAAAGCUUUAUUGGUCAGUUUACAUAACAUGACUUGAGUUUUCUUUCACAUGCAUUCCCAAGAUAUCCCAGCACAAUUUAUUUAAGUGCCUAUCCUCUCUCCAUUGCUCAGCAAAACCACUUUUCUCAUAAACUGAAUACCCAUAUCCACAUAGGUCUAUUUCUGGGUUUUAGUCUGUUCCAUUGGCCUGUGUAACCUUAGGAGAAUACCAUAUUAUUUAGCUAAGAAAGAUUUCUAAUGCUGGUGGUACUGCCAAAUAUUUCUCCUGCAAUGGCCAUGGCAAAAUCUCCAGAAAGUUUCCUGAAGCCUCAGGGGGACGGCAAGGGCCGUGCUGUCUGUGGCUGCGGGGAACAGCAAAUAGUAAUGAUGUGUGAUGAUGAGCAGUCGCCCCCGAAGGUCUUACCUUCCAAAUGCAGCACAAGCCCAUGGACAGCAAAAAGCAACAGCAGAGACAGUCUACGAUAAACAGAUGGAGCAACGCUGUGCUGUGCAUGGAGUGGAGCUGUGAACAGAAAGUCCCCCAGCAGUGUGCGGUGCAGAGAAGGGGACGAACUAUGUUGCUCAGAGUGGUGCAUUACGAUUAAUUCCCGUCUUUUGCCAUAUAUUAAGCUGUAGCAGUUUCUCUCUUUCCUAUUCUGAGGAUUUGACUUCACUGACUGCUGCAAGUUGAAAAUCCAGGUAGCUCAGGGCAACCUAAGAAUACUGUCUCUUCCAAAGUAAUGGCUAGUGACCAGCUACAAAAGGUUGAAACUUUUCAAUAAAAACAAACACGAAGACACACUUUAAAUAAGCUGUGUGUGCUCGCUCUCAGUUUUCUGUCAGACUCCCAGAGAAAGCAAGUUAUCUCUCCAAAUGAGUUUUCUAAUCACCUAAAAAAUUUAGAGCUUUCCAUUUCCCUUGUGACUAGUCAUACUGAAUAUUUUCAAAUUAAUGCAUCUCACAGUUAAUACAUAUGACAUCGUUAUUUUCUUACAAAUUCACAGUCAGGUUUUGAAAUGAAUAGGCCCAUAAUAGCAGAAGAGAUCUGCACGGUUUCAAAUAUCUUAAAAGCUCAUUUUAUCCAUUCUAUUCUGGUCUAUUCUAGUCUACUCUAGCCUUCUGGCCUUCCUGCCUUCCUUCCUUCCUUCCCUUCCUCCUUCCCUCCCUUCCGCCCUCUUUCUUUCUUUGUCUUUCUUUUUCUUUUUCUUUUUCUUUUUCUUUUUCUUUUUCUUUUUCUUUUUCUUUUUCUUUCUCUUUCUCUUUUUCUUUCUUUCUUUCUUUCUUUCUUUCUUUCUUUCUUUCUUUCUUUCUUUCUUUCUUUCUUUCUCUCUUUCUCUUGAGACAGGGUCUCGCUAUAUACUCCAGGCUGGCCUUGAACUCACUAUAUAGCCCAGGUUGCCUCGAACUCAUACCACUUCUCCUGCCUCAGUCUCCCAAGUGCAGGGAUUACAGGUGUGCACCACCACAUCCAGUUUAUUCCUCCUAAAUUCUGAAAGACUAGCUGAAGUAAAACAAAUGCCUCUUUUCCUGAGUUUAAUUUCUUGAAACUGGUGAGAAAUACCACACAUCAAAAAUGUUAAACUUUAAAACUGAAAUCUUUUCAUAUUUAUCUAACAAAUAUUAGCCUCUCCUUCAUGUUCAAAUGCUGGCUUUCAUAGCUAUUAGAAUUCUUGUAUCUUUGAUGUUGCUUUACACUGGUUAGAGAGCAGGGCAGACAAGGUUCGACUCUUCUUCGUUUCUAUAAAGGAUGGUGCUUUCUAAGAUUCAAUUCAAGAUGCUGCCUAUCAAGGGAUGUUUAUUAGUCAAAUUAAUAUGAGUUAAUAUGAACACUAGCACAAAUUUUAGAAUGAUAUGUUUAAAAAAGAGGAAAGUUAUUCUGCAAAACUAUUUUGACAGCAAGUCAAAAGUUAAGGUGAAAAAUAAAUCAAUAUUUCUUAAUAAAUGAUAUUUUUAAAUGAUACUUAUUUUUCAAAAUUGUUUUAUUUUAAGAACAAAUAGGUGCUAAGGCUGGAAUGGACAGUAAGUGACUCGUGUGUUCUGAACCUCUCACCAUGGUAUCUGUUCCAAGAGAAAGUUCACUUGCCAACUUUGACGUCCCUAUGUAAUUUCUGUUCUCUCGCUGUAUCAGUCAGUGCUUACUAGAGAAACAGAUUUAAUGCAAGGUACACAAAUAUGUGAGAAUUUACAGUAUUGGCUCACAUGAUCACCCACAGAGGCAGGUGUGGAAAAGUCGAAAAGAGCCGUCUACAUGUUGGCAAUCUGAAGGUUCAAGUCAAAGGCCUGGAGCUCAGUGUAGUGUCCUGUGCGAGUCUGCAUAAGGAGGCAGAAGCAUCUGCAGGGGAAGCCAGGAGGUGGCAUCCAAGGUGAAGGUGAAGACUGGAGCCACUCCAAGGAAACAGAAGCAAGGCUUCCUUCUUCAUUUUCCUUUUACAUCAUUCUGGUGACAAACUGCUCUAGGGCGGGUCUUCUGCCUUCAGUAAAUCCCCUCAGCCACACUCACAAGUAUGCUGGUCCAACUUACUCAAGUUGACACCAUCAGUCAACUGUCACACUCAUUUUCUGGUCUUUACCAUAGCUGCUUUACAGCAGGUGCAAUAGGGGCUUAGUAACUCAGAUUUUCACAAUAGUUCUAUAAAGUAUUCUGGGGUAUAGGUCACUUGAGUGUGGAAGAGCCCUUGAAGCCUCAAAAAUCCAAGCCUUAAAAAAAGCCAACAUAAGUCUAGCUCUAAAGUUAUUAAAGUGCUAUCAAAGUAGAUACAGGAAAAACAAACCAACUCAACUUUUAAUUUUAAUAACCAAGCUUCUUGGGAACUCACUGAGAGGAAAAUAGUAAAAUGUUUUUCUGACAAGAUGACCUGAUAAUUUUAGGGGAAUAUUUUCC
ensembl:lincRNA